GACGAACGCUAGCUACAGGCUUAACACAUGCAAGUCGAGGGGAAACGACAGAGGAAGCUUGCUCCUUUGGGCGUCGACCGGCGCACGGGUGAGUAACGCGUAUCCAACCUUCCCGCAAGUAAGGGAUAACCCGUAGAAAUGCGGCCUAAUACCUUAUGUUUUCCUUAGAGGGCAUCUGAUGAGGAACAAAGAUCCGUCGCUUGCGGAUGGGGAUGCGUCUGAUUAGUUAGUCGGCGGGGUAACGGCCCACCGAGACGACGAUCAGUAGGGGUUCUGAGAGGAAGGUCCCCCACAUUGGAACUGAGACACGGUCCAAACUCCUACGGGAGGCAGCAGUGAGGAAUAUUGGUCAAUGGACGGAAGUCUGAACCAGCCAAGUAGCGUGCAGGACGACGGCCCUAUGGGUUGUAAACUGCUUUUAUGUGGGAAUAAAGUCAGGGACGUGUCCCUGUUUGCAUGUACCACAGGAAUAAGGACCGGCUAAUUCCGUG
rnacentral:rRNA from 1 species